UUGGUAAUUGUGCCAGCCGCCGCGUUAAUACGGAAGAUGCGAGCGUUAUCCGGAUUUAUUGGGUUUAAAGGGAGCGUAGGCGGGCUUUUAAGUCAGCGGUCAAAUGUCACGGCUCAACCGUGGCCAGCCGUUGAAACUGCAAGCCUUGAGUCUGCACAGGGCACAUGGAAUUCGUGGUGUAGCGGUGAAAUGCUUAGAUAUCACGAAGAACUCCGAUCGCGAAGGCAUUGUGCCGGGGCAUAACUGACGCUGAGGCUCGAAAGUGCGGGUAUCAAACAGG
rnacentral:rRNA from 1 species